ensembl:lncRNA
UUAAAUUGUUACAGUUUUCAUGCUACUGUUUAUAACACAUUUUGAUGUGAUUUUCCUGGAAAGGCUGCUUAUACAUAUACACUGUAAUGAAUUGCUGUAAAAAUUACAGCAUUAUUUUACAGCCGCGGACUGUUUUUUAAUAAUACAGCAUAUUGCUGUAAACUGCAAUGCAUUCUGGGGUCACGUGUAGGUCUGACUCAAAUUUACAGAAUUUUGCUGUAAAUUUCAAAUCUUCGGAGCCGCAUCGUCAACGGUCGAGGAGAUUAACGUUAAAGACAAGAGGAGUGAUUCACAACUGUGGAGACACUUUGACAAGUGGGCACUGGAUGCUGAGUAUUGAAGGCGAGGUGGUGUGUGAGGGCACUCAGCCCAGUUUCCUGUCCGGCCUUGCCACUCUGUUUGCUGCUUAUUACUAGUUUAAUCUUGAGUAUCAGGAGGAAGCAGUGUGUACCUUGGAGUUCAUUCAAAGGUAAUGGUUGAAUUCUAACAACUUCAGAACCAGCAUUUUAUAGAUAAGUUAUAUCAGAACAUUCCUUUUAAUAAUGUUAUGUUAUCAGUGUUAUUUCUGUUGAUGCCUUUAAAACAAUGUGUCUUAACUCGAGAAGAGAAUAUAUUUGUCUCCCUAUUUAACACCAGCAAGCUAUUGAGUUAAAUAUGUUUUUUUUUAUUAUUAGUGGACAUCUCCAACUUUCUUGGAGGUCCUAAAACCGCUCUUAAUUACAUAUUGUCUGUUUCAUGACCCUUUAGGUGCUUUGUGGGCAUAAAUCCAGAGAGAGGACCCAAAGCCAAGGGAAAAGUGCCAUCGAAAUAAAAACAGGACAAGUGAUACAGAAGAAAAUGUGUGGCAGUCAACCCACAUGUUGCCACUCUUCUGUGCAAAUUCCAAUGGAAUUUCUGAAAUGUAAGGAUACACACACACCAAGAUUGCGUCUUCCUUUUAUUGUUCUCUAUCUGCCUUUGACUGUACCUCUCAUCCCUCUGUCUCUCUCUGACUGUACCUCUCAUCCCUGUAUCUGUCUCUGACUGUAUCUGUCCUCCCCCUAUUUGUUUCUGAAAGUAUUAUUAUGUUUUGUAAUAUAUCUAAUGUAUUGUCCUCUUUACUCUUUUCAAUAUUCCUAGUCACACUUUGAAUCCUGGGAUGGAACUUCAUCUGGAGCAUAAUUGUUAUUUGGUUGAUUUUUAUCUGUUUGAUGGAAAGUUUGUAUGACUUCUGCAAGUGCGCGGCUCCUUCCGGUCAGUCAUGCAUCACUUUUUUUUGUAUGACUUGUUUGGCAAUAUUUGUCUAUUCCUUAAUGAUGAUAGCUAUCUGAAAAUGUCUUUGUGGUUUUUAAAGGAUUAGUUCACCCAAAAAUGAAAAUUAAGUCAAUAAUUACUUAUGUCGUUUCACACCCGUAAGAUCUUCGUUCAUCCUCACAACACAUAAUAAGAUGUGGCUCAGUGAAGCGUGCAUUUCUAGCAAGAUCAUUUCUUUUUUUCAAUGCCCAGAAAGCCUCUAAAACAUUUAAAACAAUUCAUGUGACUACAGUUGUUCAACCUAAAUAUUAUAAAGCGACGAGAAUACUUUUUUUGCCAACCCCCCCCCCCACCCCACCCCCAUCUCCCAAAACAACGAUUUUAUUCAACUAUAUCUAGUGAUGGGCGAUCUCAAAACACUGCUUCAUGAAGCUUAGAAGCUUUACGAAUCUUUUGUUUCAAAUCAUUUGCUCAGAACGUGUAUCAAACUGCAAAAGUCACACGAACCAUUGAAAUUUCAAAACACUUAUGACGUAACAAAGCCUCAUUUACUGAAAUCAUGUGACUUUGGCAGUUUGAUAUGCUCUGAUUUGAACUGAAAGAUUAAUAAAGCUUUGAAGCUUCAUGAAGCAGUGUCAUCCAUCACGAGAUACUGUUGAAUAGUCAUUAUUUAGUUUUUUGGCACACAAAAAGUAUUUUCAUUGCUUCAUUACACUAAGGUUGAACCACUGUAGUCACAUAAACUGUUUUAAAUAUGUUUUUAGUACCUUUCUGGGCAUUGGAAAGGGAAAUGAUCUUGCUAGCAAUGUAGGCAUCACUGGGCCAUCAGGUUUUAUAAAAAAUAUCUUAAUGUGUGUUGUGAAGAUGAACAAAGGUUUUAAGGGUGUGGAAUGACAUGAGGGUGAGAAAUGACAGAAUUUUCACUUUUGGGUGAACUGUUUUAAUAUGACCAUGUUGGUCAUGUUUCGGUUAUAACGCAGUUUGAAUAUUUCUUUGUGUCAAGGUCCAUGAUGGCCAUUAUGUUCCAAGUAAUAAAAAAGAAAUCAUGCCAAAAUUUCAUAUCCAUUUAAAAAAAAAUGAAAUAAUUUUAAAAUAAAUAAAAAUGAGUUCAAAAUAAUAUACUUUUUAUGUCAUUUUUUUAUGUAAAUUUGAAAGUGAUAUAUAACAUUUUGACCUGUUUUUUUUUAGAUUUUAAAAAUGUUAUUUUUUUAUAUUUUUUUGGUGAAUUAAGUUAUGCAUUAUAUAACACUUUAUGCAGUUAAAGUUAAGUCAGCAAUAGGGAAAAUAUAUUGUAUGCUAUCAUUUUACAUACUUUAAAUAUAGCAAAUACACAUAUGCUUUUUUUCAAAGAAUUGCUUUGCACAGUAAACUACUUGAAAGUGUGCAUUUGCUAUUUAAAUAAUUGUUAAAUGCCAUAUACAAUGUAUUAAAAAUGCAGUAUAUAAUAUAUUUUUUUGUAAAAAUGCAGUAUACAAAAUAUAAAAAAUUACUGUAAAUUUUACAGUAAAAUACUGGCAGCAGGGUUGCCAGCCAGUUA